rnacentral:rRNA from 1 species
CCUACGGGAGGCAGCAGUGGGGAAUAUUGGACAAUGGGGGGAACCCUGAUCCAGCGACGCCGCGUGAGUGAUGAAGUAUUUCGGUAUGGUAAGCUCUAUCAGCAGGGAAGAAAAUGACGGUACCUGACCAAGAAGCCCCGGUUAACUUCGAGCCAGCAGCCGCGGUACUACGGAGGGGGCAAGCGUAAUCCGGAUUUACUGGGUGUAAAGGGAGCGUAGACGGUGCAGCAAGUAUGAUGUGAAAGGUCGGGGCCCAACCCCGGGACUGCAUUGGAAACUGUUGAACUGGAGUACAGGAGAGGUAAGCGGAAUUCCUAGUGUAGCGGUGAAAUGCGUAGAUAUUAGGAGGAACACCAAUGGCGAAGGCGGCUUACUAGACUGUAACUGACGUUGAGGCUCGAAAGCGUGGGGAGCAAACAGGAUUAGAUACCCCUGUAGUC